GGUAAGUGGCUGAACAUUAAGGCGGUGGGCUGUAAAUCUACUUAUAUUGGUUAAAUCCUUUCUUUACU
rnacentral:tRNA from 1 species